rnacentral:rRNA from 1 species
GACGAACGCUGGCGGCGUGCCUAAUACAUGCAAGUAGAACGCACAGUUUAUACCGUAGCUUGCUACACCAUAGACUGUGAGUUGCGAACGGGUGAGUAACGCGUAGGUAACCUGCCUGGUAGCGGGGGAUAACUAUUGGAAACGAUAGCUAAUACCGCAUAAUAUUGAUUAUUGCAUGAUAAUUAAUUGAAAGGUGCAAUUGCACCACUACCAGAUGGACCUGCGUUGUAUUAGCUAGUAGGUGAGGUAACGGCUCACCUAGGCGACGAUACAUAGCCGACCUGAGAGGGUGAUAGGCCACACUGGGACUGAGACACGGCCCAGACUCCUACGGGAGGCAGCAGUAGGGAAUCUUCGGCAAUGGACGAAAGUCUGACCGAGCAACGCCGCGUGAGUGAAGAAGGUUUUCGGAUCGUAAAGCUCUGUUGUAAGAGAAGAACGGGUGUGAGAGUGGAAAGUUCACACUGUGACGGUAGCUUACCAGAAAGGGACGGCUAACUACGUG